UCCGCAGGGGGCUAGCGUUGCUCGGCAUUACUGGGCGUAAAGGGCGCGUAGGCGGACAGUUUAGUCAGAGGUGAAAGCCCAGGGCUCAACCUUGGAAUUGCCUUUGAUACUGGCUGUCUUGAGUUCGGGAGAGGUGAGUGGAAUGCCGAGUGUAGAGGUGAAAUUCGUAGAUAUUCGGCGGAACACCAGUGGCGAAGGCGACUCACUGGCCCGAGACUGACGCUGAGGCGCGAAAGCGGGGGGAGCGAACAGG
rnacentral:rRNA from 1 species